UUACCUCAGUUAAGGUCUUCCCCAGCCCAGCUACAAACAGACCCACCCUUCAGACCCUUCUAUUACAUCUCAACCUGCUGAACCUGAUGAUGCGACACCAAGCUGUUCUGAGAGUGCAUACAGUAAGGCAAAGAAGAGAGAGCUUCAUGCCUGGGAUGCAGUCAAGGAUGAGAUGCUUAAGGUGACGUUUGAAUGUUCAGCACCGAUCACUACCCAGUGUGCUGUCUGCCGAGAACAUGCUGAUUAUAGGUGCAUUGAGUGCAGCUCCACUGCAGUGUUUUGUGAGGUUUGCCUGAAGAGGAUUCACAGAAAUUUACUGCAUCUUCCUGAAAAGUGGAAUAAUGUUUACUAUGAGCCAUCCUCCCUGGGGUUAUUCUCAUAUUUACCUGAAGCCCAUGGCACCCAUGCUGUGUACACAAAGGACAUGAAGAUCAUUGUCAGCACAGGACGGCUCUGCACCGUUACAGUCACCAUGUGUGCGUGUGAACCAGAAACCUGUACUCUGCUGAGAUAUGGGCUCUGACCAGCAACAGCCAAAAGCCCCAGACAGACAUCCUUCUCCAUCCCUCUGCUAGAGCUUUCUGUUUCUCUGUCACUGGAGUGUCAGGUUUCUGUUGAGGGUUUUUAGCAACACCCCAUAUCCCAUUUUAGGCAUCACCACUUCCGACAAAGAAGUUUGGUUGAUAUUUGCACACAAUUAAAUGAUGGAACCAUAUGCCCAGCAUGUCCAAAGGCGGAUGGAGAUAUGAUUGUCACAUUGGAUGCUAACUUUGGCCUUGUGAGGAAUCAAAGCUCUGGUACAAGUGCGGUUGAUCCAUUACACG